UACGAGGGAUGCAAGCGUUAUCCGGAAUUAUUGGGCGUAAAGCGUUUGUAGGCGGGCGAGUGUGUUUAAUGUUAAAUCUUAAAGCUCAACUUUGAAAUUGCGUUAAAAACUGCUUGUCUUGAGUAUGGUAGGGGUAAAGGGAAUUCCCAGUGUAGCGGUGAAAUGCGUAGAUAUUGGGAAGAACACUAAACAGCGAAGGCACUUUACUAGGCUAAUACUGACGCUGAGAAACGAAAGGUAAGGUAGCGAAACGGAUUAGAUACCCGUGUAGUCUUACCCGUAAACUAUGGACACUAAACGGUAAAUUUUUAAUUUACUGUUAAAGCUAACGCGUUAAGUGUCCCGCCUGGGGAGUAUGCUUGCAAAAGUGAAACUCAAAGGAAUUGACGGGGGCCCGCACAAGCGGAGGAGCAUGUGGUUUAAUUCGACGGUACACGAAGAACCUUACCAGGAUUUGACAUGCUAGAUAGUUGCUUGAAAGAGUAACGUGCCGUAAGGAAUCUAGACACAGGUGGUGCAUGGCUGUCGUCAGUUCGUGUUGUGAAAUGUUGGGUUAAGUCCCGCAACGAACGCAACCCUUGUCUUUAGUUAUUUUCUAAAGAGACUGCCUGUAAUAAACAGGAGGAAGGUAAGGAUGAGGUCAAGUCAUCAUGCCCCUUAUGUCCUGGGCUACACACGUGCUACAAUGGGAAAGACAAUGAGCUGCAAAUCUGUAAAUUUAAGCAAAUCUCUUAAACUUUCUCGUAGUUCGGAUUGUGGGCUGCAACUCGCCCACAUGAAGUUGGAAUCGCUAGUAAUCGCCAGUCAGCUAUAUGGCGGUGAAUCCGUUCCCGGGCCU
rnacentral:rRNA from 1 species